AUUCCUAGUCUGCAAGGUGUUCACUUAGAUAUUUUCAUUCAUCAAUGUUCAGUUAUUCAACAGUCUCCUUUUGAGGCGUGAAUGUUGCUCAUUCAGCAAUGGGGAGUUUGUUAAGACAGGAUUGGCUGAGUUAGAAAAUUUGUGCCAUGAAGCAACCAAAGAGUAUGCUGGCUCAGCUUGGGAUGAACUGAGGCAUAUCAGACAAGCAGUUGGAUUCCUGCUUUGAAACAGUGUCGUUUCAUAGAAGUUGAAUGUGAUGUUAA